AGUGAACGCUGGCGGUAGGCCUAACACAUGCAAGUCGAACGGCAGCACAGUAAGAGCUUGCUCUUACGGGUGGCGAGUGGCGGACGGGUGAGGAAUACAUCGGAAUCUACUUUUUCGUGGGGGAUAACGUAGGGAAACUUACGCUAAUACCGCAUACGACCUACGGGUGAAAGCAGGGGAUCUUCGGACCUUGCGCGUUUGAAUGAGCCGAUGUCGGAUUAGCUAGUUGGCGGGGUAAAGGCCCACCAAGGCGACGAUCCGUAGCUGGUCUGAGAGGAUGAUCAGCCACACUGGAACUGAGACACGGUCCAGACUCCUACGGGAGGCAGCAGUGGGGAAUAUUGGACAAUGGGCGGAAGCCUAGUCCAGCCAUACCGCGUGGGUGAAGAAGGCCUUCGGGUUGUAAAGCCCUUUUGUUGGGAAAGAAAAGCAGCAGGUUAAUACCCCGCUGUUCUGACGGUACCCAAAGAAUAAGCACCGGCUAACUUCGUG
rnacentral:rRNA from 1 species